GCAAGUCGAACGAGGUCCAUGGAGCUUGCUCCGGAAGAUCUAGUGGCGAACGGGUGCGUAACACGUGAGAAAUCUGCCCCGGACUCUGGGAUAACAGUUGGAAACGACUGCUAUACCGGAUGCCUUCAUUUGGCCGCAUGGUUGUUUGAAGAAAGAUUUAUCGGUUUGGGAGGAUCUCGCGGCCUAUCAGCUUGUUGGAGAGGUAACGGCUCACCAAGGCAUCGACGGGUAGCCGGCCUGAGAGGGCGACC
rnacentral:rRNA from 1 species